rnacentral:rRNA from 1 species
AACGAACGCUGGCGGCAGGCCUAACACAUGCAAGUCGAGCGAGAUCUUCGGGUCUAGCGGCGGACGGGUGAGUAACGCGUGGGAAUAUGCCUCUUGGUACGGAAUAGCCUCGGGAAACUGGGAGUAAUACCGUAUGUGCCCUUUGGGGGAAAGAUUUAUCGCCAAGAGAUUAGCCCGCGUUGGAUUAGGUAGUUGGUGGGGUAAUGGCCUACCAAGCCGACGAUCCAUAGCUGGUUUGAGAGGAUGAUCAGCCACACUGGGACUGAGACACGGCCCAGACUCCUACGGGAGGCAGCAGUGGGGAAUCUUAGACAAUGGGGGCAACCCUGAUCUAGCCAUGCCGCGUGAGUGAUGAAGGCCUUAGGGUCGUAAAGCUCUUUCAGCUGGGAAGAUAAUGACGGUACCAGCAGAAGAAGCCCCGGCUAACUCCGUG